rnacentral:rRNA from 1 species
UACGUAGGGGGCAAGCGUUGUCCGGAUUUAUUGGGCGUAAAGAGCGUGUAGGCGGUUUGGUAGGUCCGCUGUGAAAACUCGAGGCUCACCUCGAGACGCCGGUGGAAACCAUCAGACUAGAGUCCGGAAGAGGAGAGUGGAAUUCCUGGUGUAGCGGUGAAAUGCGCAGAUAUCAGGAAGAACACCCGUGGCUAAGGCGGCUCUCUAGUACGGUACUGACGCUGAGACGCGAAAGCGUGGGGAGCGAACAGG